GAACGGGUUCCCUCCCGAGCGCGGGAGAAGCCUGGCGCCAGCCGGCAGGACCAUCACCCUAGCACAUAACCCCGGGGCCAGCAGCCGCACACCGCACCCCGUCGGAGAUGCCGGAAUUAAGAAUGCUUAGACGAGAUCAUUCUGAAGACCAACAUGGUACAAUGUGAAAGCUUCUCCAGCUGUGCAGAACGACAUACCAAGUAUGGUAAUUACUGAGUGACAGGGUAGAAGCAUUUGUCUACAAGUUUCUUUAGCUAACACACCUAUGUGGCUGCUACAGAGCAGAAGAAAAUCUCUAUAUUCCUCAUGAAAUUAGUACAGUCUUUCAGUUUUCAGCACGGUUAACCAGCCUUAUGAUUAAGGACACAAAACCAAGACUUUGUGUCACAAUAGGGCCCAAGCGAGUGGCUUAAUGCUCAUGUAUUAAAGGAAUUAAAUAAGACUCGGAAGCAGCUCCAAUCUGCUGAGCAGGGUUGUUUCACAACAUGAGUGUUUGCAACUCGAUCUGCUUUUCAAAGAGACUACAAGAACACACUAAUGGAAACUACAAUGAAGGACCAAUUGUUCAUAUCAUUGCCAAACUUUCCAAAUUUUGGUACUUCAAGGGUGUAGAAAAUUAAAUCAGAUUCCAGGUUACUUUUGUUGCACAGGGAGCUGCCGUUACUGUAUUAGUUGCAGCCAAACGUAGCAUUGGAAAUGUACAUAUAUCAAAACAGUACUUAAAAAAGCUACAAAUAUGAGUAUGUAGAAAAUAACAUGAUCUACAAGACAGAAAAGCCAUUGUGAUUUUUUUCUAUGAAGUUAGCAAUAAAUCAGAAAAAAUAUUGAAAUUUAAGUCACAAACUUUGAAACUUAUUCAAAAGAAGGGCUCAGCCUUGACCGCUGUGCACCGUGUGCAUAGAAAGGCUAUGCCUCCAUAGCCUACGACCUUGGCCAAAAAGCACAGAUGGUUACCCAGUGCCGCCCUGUGUUGAAAAAACGUAACUACAUGGACAAAUCCUUUUACGUAAGGGUAUGCCGUAGGAAAUAGUGUACCCUUGGUUUACGUGCAAAAUGACAGCUACCAUCCAUUGCUGCAGUUCAUAUACAGCAAAGUAUGGGUUUGGGUUUUUUUAAUCACAGGUUCUUCACAAAGAGAUGCACUGCUAAAGACUUUCAUUACACUGCUGGAUAACAAAAAGACAUGUUGAUCUAUAGUACUAUGAUAUAUACAUGCAAUCCCAGCAAAUGAGGUAGGAAUGGCAGGAGAUUUAGCUAAAUAAGGAAAAAGCAAUUAACAUUUGGCAGCAAAUCAUCCAAGCAGUGUUUAUCAUCAGUAAUUAUUACUCAAAAGGAAGAGUAUGUAAACAAUGUAUUUGAUUUACCUAACCAGAGUCUUUCCUUAAAUUGUAACAAAUCUGUGCGUUUACUGUUUGAACUAUAAAUAAAAGGAAAUUUAAACUAUA